rnacentral:lncRNA from 11 species
GUGUAGCAGGAAUGUUCUCUUCUGCAACAGGGGCAGGAAAGGGAAAUGGUUUGUUCCCUCAAUCCAGCUCUAGCUCAGGGACAAAUACGGGCAAAAUCUCAGGCAGUGUAUCUUCCCCGAGGGGCAGUCGACAAGGCAAGGCCUCAGGAGUCAAUCUCCCCCGUUUCUCACGUCGGAAGCUUCUUAGUUUGGAUCUAAAUCUCCAAAAUGAAGAAGCAGGCAUUUUGCCUGGUGCUUCCCUGAAUUCACCUGGGCUUCCUAAUGACCUUCUGGGCCCUGCAUCUUCUUCACCUGCGAGCGGCCAAGAAACUGCAAACCUCCCUCCUUCCGUCAUAGUCCGUGUCCAGAAGGGAAGCAAUAACCAAGCUCUCGAGCAGCUCAAAUCAGAAGGCGGCAAGAUCCAAUUCAUCCCACUGGGACCUCCAGAAUCCUCCGGCGAUGCUCUCCUGUACCGAUACACAGCCAAGGUGACCCAUGAAGAUGGAAGCCACACCAUCCUCAACAGCGCACCCCUCUCCCUUCCCCCAAAGCAAAGCUCCCCCAUGGACAUGACUCUGAGCCCCAGCAUCCUCGGCGCACUGAUGCCAGACAUCAAAGCCAGCAGUCUUUCCGCAAAAUUGUUCGGCAACAGCGUCCUGCCAGGAGAUCUACAUUCCCUGCUCCCUAAGGACCCGUCAGGAAACGAAAUGAAAGCCAUGAUAUCCCGAAUCAGGCGACCAACUGUUUACACCCCAGCUUUAGCGAUCGCGGUUCGAAUAUGCGUCACCUCGGAAGGAAAAUGCAUCGGCAACUUAGCUUCCAUGAACAUGGAAAUUCCCGUGAAAGUUAAUUUGGAAGUUUCCGGAGACAAGGUGUUCUUCAAGAUUUCUCAGCCCAGGACUGAAGACAUAUCCAUGUCCUCUCCAGUGGCUGGCAUUGAUCUGGACCAAUACAAAGCAUGGAGUGCUGCAAGCAUGGGAAAAGCCAUCGAUAUUAUAAAUGAAAUGUCUGAAGAGCAGGCGCUCACACUGCCGAUACUGCAACACAUGAAGAACCCGGUUGUGCACGUUUCCCCAGACGCGCUGCACAUCCAAGAGAAGGCGUGAGCAGAAGAACCACGGCCACUUUGCCGGCAGGACUCUGAAUCAUGUCGAAUCGCUGCUGCUUUUUGCUUCUGACCCUGGAGCUCUUCCCCCUUCCUCCUCCCCCUCCCCUUCAACCUGCAACUGAGACUAGAAAUGGCGUUUUUGGAUGCACAAUCCACCCCUGGACUCUUUCUAUCUAUCAUUGAAAGGCGGAACAGAAACGCUAUAAAUAAUUGCAGGAUCUGAUGGACAUGCUUCCCAACUGCGCUGCUGCUUCGAAUGCAUAUGUCUGGCAAAAUUAAUAAAUCAUGCAUUGGAUAAAAUCACCUGUCUUUUCUUUCUUUCUUUCUUUGGUGUUUUCGGUUCUUUGUUCUCCGGCACUGGGAAUUUAAAUGCCUCUAUGGGGAAAAC